GGUGGUAAUGACGAAGGGGUUCCACCUGUUCCCAUCCCGAACACAGAAGUUAAGCCCUUGGGUGCCGAAAGUACUUGGCUGGAGACGGCCCGGGAGGA
rnacentral:rRNA from 1 species